rnacentral:rRNA from 1 species
GGACGAACGCUGGCGGCGUGCCUAAUACAUGCAAGUAGAACGCACAGUUUAUACCGUAGCUUGCUACACCAUAGACUGUGCGUUUCGAACGGGUGAGUAACGCGUAGGUAACCUGCCUGGUAGCGGGGGAUAACUAUUGGAAACGAUAGCUAAUACCGCAUAAUAUUGAUUAUUUCAUGAUAAUUGAUUGAACGAUGCUAUUGCAUCACUACCAGAUGGACCUGCGUUGUAUUAUCUAGUAGGUGAGGUAACGGCUCACCUAGGCGACGAUACAUAGCCGACCUUAAAGGGUGGUCGGCCAGCCCGGUACUGAGACACGGCUCAGGUUUCUUCGGGAGGCAGCAGCAGGGAAUCUUCGGCAAGGGACGAAAGUCUGACCGUGCAACGCCGCGUGAGUGAAGAAUGUUAUUGGAUCGUAAAGCUCUGUUGUAAGAGAAGAACGGGUGUGAGAGUUGAAAGUUCACACUGUGACGGUAUCUUACCAGAAAGGUACGGCUAACUACGUG